GAUGAAGAACGUAGCGAAAUGCGAUACUUGGUGUGAAUUGCAGAAUCCCGUGAACCAUCGAGUCUUUGAACGCAAGUUGCGCCCGAAGCCUUUAGGCCGAGGGCACGCCUGCCUGGGCGUCACACGCCGUUGCCCCCCCCGCGCCUCCCUCGGGAGCGUCGGGGGGCGGACGAUGGCCUCCCGUGCGUCACCCCGCGCGGCUGGCACAAAUGCCGGGUCCUUGGCGACGAACGCCACGACAAUCGGUGGUUGUCGAACCUCGGUUGCCCGUUGUGCGCUUUCGUCGCGCUCCGAUCGGCCCGCGACGCUCCCCGCUCCGCUUCGGCCGAGCUUUCGACGCGACCCCAGGUCAGGCGGGGUUACCCGCUGAAUUUAAGCAUAUCAAUAAGCGGAGGA
rnacentral:misc_RNA from 1 species